GUUUUCUGAGACCAAUCGAUUGGUCCUUGGCCACAAUUGAUUGUGUUGCUUCUCUAUUUGUGAAGAAACAAAAUUUUCCAAAAGUCAAUCGAUUGACAUUGGACUACAAUCAAUUGAUCCUUUGUUUGAAAAAUAGAAUUGUGAACUAAACAAAUUGAUUAGGCUUCCCUAACCAAUCGAUUGGCUCAUGCUUUUGCGUUUUGUCUUAUUUUUUUU
rnacentral:lncRNA from 1 species